GACCCGGUAGCUCAGUUGGUAGAGCAACGGACUUUUAAUCCGUAGGCCGCGGGUUCGAUCCCCGCCCGGGUCA
rnacentral:tRNA from 2 species